rnacentral:rRNA from 1 species
UGUAUUUAGAGGAAGUAACAGUCGUNACUAGGUUUCCGUAGGUGAACAUGCGGAAGGAUCAUUAUUGAAAUAAACCUGAUGGGUUGUUGCUGGCUCUCUAGGGAGCAUGUGCACGCCUUGUCAUCUUUAUAUCUCCACCUGUGCACCUUUUGUAGACCUUUCGGGGUCUAUGUUGCUUCAUUUUUCCACAAUGUAUGUUAAUAGAAUGUUGUGCCCUGUAUAAUAUAUACAACUUUCAGCAACGGAUCUCUUGGCUCUCGCAUCGAUGAAGAACGCAGCGAAAUGCGAUAAGUAAUGUGAAUUGCAGAAUUCAGUGAAUCAUCGAAUCUUUGAACGCACCUUGCGCUCCUUGGUAUUCCGAGGAGCAUGCCUGUUUGAGUGUCAUUAAUAUACAUAUAUCAAGCCUUCUCUUGUAGAAGGGUUUGGAUGUGGGGGUUUGCUGGCCUCUUAAUCUUAAGAGUUCAGCUCUCCUGAAAUGCAUUAGCAGAACAACCUUAUGUUCAUUGGUGUGAUAACUAUCUACGCUAUUGAAUGUUGAGGGGGAAGUUCAGCUUUCUAACGGUCCCUUGGACAACUCAUCAUUAAUGUGACCUCAAAUCAGGUAGGACUACCCGCUGAACUUAAGCAUAUCAAUAAGCGGAGGAAAAGAAACUAACAAGGAUUCCCCUAGUAACUGCGAGUGAAGCGGGAAAAGCUCAAAUUUAAAAUCUGGCGGUUUUUUUGGCCGUCCGAGUUGUAAUCUAGAGAAGUGUUAUCCGCGCUGGACCGUGUACAAGUCUCCUGGAAUGGAGCAUCAUAGAGGGUGAGAAUCCCGUCUUUGACAUGGACUGCCAGGGCUUUGUGAUGCGCUCUCAAAGAGUCGAGUUGUAUGGGAAUGCAGCUCAAAAUGGGUGGUAAAUUACAUCUAAAGCU